rnacentral:misc_RNA from 1 species
UGUGGGAGCUGGCUUGCCUGCGAUAGCGAUGUAUCAGUCGCCAAUGUGUUGACUGAAAGUCCGCUAUCGCAGGCAAGCCAGCUCCCACA